rnacentral:rRNA from 1 species
AGCGAACGCUGGCGGCAGGCCUAACACAUGCAAGUCGAACGAACUCUUCGGAGUUAGUGGCGGACGGGUGAGUAACACGUGGGAACGUGCCUUUAGGUUCGGAAUAACUCAGGGAAACUUGUGCUAAUACCGAAUGUGCCCUUCGGGGGAAAGAUUUAUCGCCUUUAGAGCGGCCCGCGUCUGAUUAGCUAGUUGGUGAGGUAAAGGCUCACCAAGGCGACGAUCAGUAGCUGGUCUGAGAGGAUGAUCAGCCACAUUGGGACUGAGACCCGGCCCAAACUCCUACGGGAGGCAGCAGUGGGGAAUCUUGCGCAAUGGGCGAAAGCCUGACGCAGCCAUGCCGCGUGAAUGAUGAAGGUCUUAGGAUUGUAAAAUUCUUUCACCGGGGACGAUAAUGACGGUACCCGGAGAAGAAGCCCCGGCUAACUUCGUG